GACAGAGGGUGCAACCGUUGCUCGGAAUUACUGGGCGUAAAGCGCGUGUAGGCGGGCUCCCAAGUCGGACGUGAAAGCCCCGAGCUCAACUCGGGAACUGCAUCCGAAACUGAGGGCCUUGAGUGAUGGAGAGGGAAGCAGAAUUCCUGGUGUAGAGGUGAAAUUCGUAGAUAUCAGGAGGAACACCGGUGGCGAAGGCGGCUUCCUGGACAUUGACUGACGCUGAGACGCGAAAGCGUGGGGAGCAAACAGG
rnacentral:rRNA from 1 species